UACAGAGGGGCAAGCGUUGUUCGGAAUUACUGGGCGUAAAGGGCUCGUAGGCGGCCAACUAAGUCGGAUGUGAAAUCCCCAGGCUUAACCUGGGAACUGCAUCCGAUACUGGAUGGCUUGAAUCCGGGAGAGGGAUGCAGAAUUCCAGGUGUAGCGGUGAAAUGCGUAGAUAUCUGGAGGAAUACCGGUGGCGAAGGCGGCAUCCUGGACCGGCAUUGACGCUGAUGAGCGAAAGCUAGGGGGAGCAAACGGG
rnacentral:rRNA from 1 species